rnacentral:rRNA from 1 species
UUAGGAAUCUUGGGCAAUGGGGGAAACCCUGACCCAGCCAUGCCGCGUGUGUGAAGAAGGCCUUCGGGUUGUAAAGCACUUUCAAGGGUAAAGAAAAGCCUGGGGCGAAUACCUCCGGGUCUUGACGUUAGCCCUAGAAGAAGCACCGGCUAACUCCGUGCCAGCAGCCGCGGUAAUACGGAGGGUGCGAACGUUAAUCGGAAUUACUGGGCGUAAAGCGCACGUAGGCGGUUCGUUAAGUGAGAUGUGAAAUCCCCGGGCUUAACCUGGGAACUGCAUUUCAUACUGGCGAACUAGAGUCUGGUAGAGGGGGGUGGAAUUUCCUGUGUAGCGGUGAAAUGCGUAGAUAUAGGAAGGAACAUCAGUGGCGAAGGCGGCCCCCUGGAUCAAGACUGACGCU